rnacentral:rRNA from 1 species
UACGGGGGGGGCAAGCGUUGUUCGGAAUUACUGGGCGUAAAGCGCACGUAGGCGGAUCAGCAAGUUAGGGGUGAAAUCCCGGGGCUCAACCCCGGAACUGCCUUUAAAACUGUUGGUCUGGAGGUCGAGAGAGGUGAGUGGAAUUCCGAGUGUAGAGGUGAAAUUCGUAGAUAUUCGGAGGAACACCAGUGGCGAAGGCGGCUCACUGGCUCGAUACUGACGCUGAGGUGCGAAAGCGUGGGGAGCAAACAGG